GACGAACGCUGGCGGCGUGCCUAAUACAUGCAAGUAGAACGCUGAAGGAGGAGCUUGCUCUUCUGGAUGAGUUGCGAACGGGCGAGUAACGCGUAGGUAACCUGCCUGGUAGCGGGGGAUAACUAUUGGAAACGAUAGCUAAUACCGCAUAACAGUAGAUGUUGCAUGACAUUUGCUUAAAAGGUGCAAUUGCACCACUACCAGAUGGACCUGCGUUGUAUUAGCUAGUUGGUGGGGUAACGGCUCACCAAGGCGACGAUACAUAGCCGACCUGAGAGGGUGAUCGGCCACACUGGGACUGAGACACGGCCCAGACUCCUACGGGAGGCAGCAGUAGGGAAUCUUCGGCAAUGGACGGAAGUCUGACCGAGCAACGCCGCGUGAGUGAAGAAGGUUUUCGGAUCGUAAAGCUCUGUUGUAAGAGAAGAACGAGUGUGAGAGUGGAAAGUUCACACUGUGACGGUAUCUUACCAGAAAGGGACGGCUAACUACGUG
rnacentral:rRNA from 1 species